rnacentral:rRNA from 1 species
CCAAAAAUCUAGCCUCUCCUUUCCCCCCCCCCCUUUUUUGAUACCAACUAAAAUAUUUUAACAGCCUAGUAAAGAAGAUUAAAAAACUUUUAAGAGCUAUAAACUUGUACCGCAAGGGAAAGAUGAAAUAAAAAUGAAAUAAACCUCAAGCACAAAAAAGCAGAGACUCACUCUCGUACCUUUUGCAUCAUGGUUUAGCUAGUCCAAUUAGGCAACAAGACCUUAAGUCUAACUUCCCGAAACUAAGUGAGCUAUCUUAGGGCCGCUUAAUGAGCCCACCCGUUUAUGUUGAAAAAUAAUGGGGAGACCCUAAAAUAGAGGUGACAGACCUAACGAACUUAGUGAUAGCUGGUUUUUCAAGAAAAGAAUUUAGUCCAACCUAAAAUAACUUUCCCUCCCCCACGCCCGCCCUUAUUUUAGAGUAAUUCAAAUGAGGUACAGCCCAUUUGAUACAGGAUCCAACCUUUACUAAAGGGUAAUACCUAACUUACACCCACAAGUAGGCCUAAGAGCAGCCAUCUUCUAAAAAGCGUCAAAGCUUAAAUUUGUUUAUUUUAAUCCACAGAUCUCCACAGACCCCUUUUAUUAUAUUGAAAAUUUCUAUAAUCCUAUAGAACCUUUAAUGCUAAAACUAGUAACAAGAAGCACCCCCUCUCUUAUAUGCAAACAUAAGCCAGCAAGAACUCAUCACUGGCAAUUAAAAUUAACUAAAUGUAGUAACUUUCCCCAGAAAACCCUACUCUUAACCCACUGUUAACCUAACACAAGAGCAUUCCAAGAAAGAUUAAAAGAAAAAGAAGGAACUCAGCAAACAAUUAGCCUCGCCUGUUUACCAAAAACAUCGCCUCUUGUCCCCCCUAAGAGGUCCAGCCUGCCCAGUGACUCUGUUCAACGGCCGCGGUAUCCUAACCGUGCAAAGGUAGCGUAAUCACUUGUUUCCUAAAUGGAGACCAGUAUGAAAGGCAUCACGAGGGUUAAACUGUCUCCUUUCUCUAAUCAGUGAAACUAAUCCCCCCGUGAAGAAGCGGGGAUUCUACUAUAAGACGAGAAGACCCUAUGGAGCUUAAAACAUCUUAACACCUGCUGCAAUUUGCAUCAUCCAGAUAUUUACCUUUACCAGCACGCUGAUUAUAAGUUUUUGGUUGGGGUGACCGCGGAGAAAAAAUCAUCCUCCGCAAUGAAAAGGACCUCCUUAAACAGUAAGUUACAACUUUACGUAUCAAUAAAUUGACAUCAUUGACCCAACAAAUUGAUCAACGAACCUAGUUACCCUAGGGAUAACAGCGCAAUCCACUUCAAGAGCUCCUAUCGACAAGUGGGCUUACGACCUCGAUGUUGGAUCGGGGUAUCCUAGUGGUGCAGUCGCUACUAAAGGUUCGUUUGUUCAACGAUUAAAACCCCACGUGAUCUGAGUUCAGACCGGAGCAAUCCAGGUCAGUUUCUAUCUAUAAAGAGCUCUUUUCAGUACGAAAGGACCAAAAUAGCAUGGCCAAUACCCAGUCAAGCCAUAGUUAAUUACUUAUGACUUCCACUCAAAAGACUAUUAACCUCUCACCCACCUCAA